rnacentral:misc_RNA from 1 species
CAAACCCUCAAGCUUCUGCUUGGUGUUGGGUCCUCGUCCUUCACCGGACGUGCCCGAAACUCGUAGGCGGUGGCGCCCAGCUCCUCAGCGUAGUUAUACAUUCCGCUCCGGAUCGUUGGGUGUUGCUCGCCUCACAACCACUUUUUUAUCUAUG